GACGAACGCUGGCGGCGCGCCUAACACAUGCAAGUCGAACGAGCGAGAGAGAGCUUGCUUUCUCAAGCGAGUGGCGAACGGGUGAGUAACGCGUGAGGAACCUGCCUCAAAGGGGGGGACAACAGUUGGAAACGACUGCUAAUACCGCAUAAGCCCACGACCCGGCAUCGGGUAGAGGGAAAAGGAGCAAUCCGCUUUGAGAUGGCCUCGCGUCCGAUUAGCUAGUUGGUGAGGUAACGGCCCACCAAGGCGACGAUCGGUAGCCGGACUGAGAGGUUGAACGGCCACAUUGGGACUGAGACACGGCCCAGACUCCUACGGGAGGCAGCAGUGGGGAAUAUUGCACAAUGGGGGAAACCCUGAUGCAGCGACGCCGCGUGGAGGAAGAAGGUCUUCGGAUUGUAAACUCCUGUUGUUGAGGAAGAUAAUGACGGUACUCAACAAGGAAGUGACGGCUAACUACGUG
rnacentral:rRNA from 1 species